rnacentral:rRNA from 1 species
UACGGAGGAUGCGAGCGUUAUCCGGAUUUAUUGGGUUUAAAGGGUGCGUAGGCGGGACGUCAAGACAGCGGUGAAAGGCUGUGGCUCAACCAUAGCAUUGCCGUUGAAACUGGCGACCUUGAGUGCGGCAGAGGCAGGCGGAAUGUGUGGUGUAGCGGUGAAAUGCUUAGAUAUCACACAGAACAUCGAUUGCGAAGGCAGCUUGCUGGAGCGCAACUGACGCUGAGGCACGAAAGCGUGGGUAUCGAAC